GGGGGGGGGGGGGGGGGGGCGGGGGGCGGGCGGGUCGGGCGGGGGCCGGGGGGGGGUUGCCCUUUUUGGUGGGGGUGGCGGGCGGGUGAGUGGCACGUGAGUCACCUGUCCUUUUCGUUGGGAUAAGCAUUCGAAAGGGUGUUUCAUCCCUUCUGUUCUGUCUGCCUGGCAUGGGGUGGGUGGGGAAGGCUUUGGCCGUGUUUGGGUGGGCUCGCGGGCUAUCAGCUUGUGGGUGGGGUGAUGGCUUACCAAGGCUUUGACGGGUAGCCGGCCUGAGAGGGUGGUCGGUCACAUGGGGACUGAGAUACGGCCCAGACUCCUGCGGGAGGCAGCAGUGGGGGAUAUUGCACAAUGGGCGAAAGCCUGAUGCAGCGACGCCGCGUGGGGGAUGAAGGCCUUCGGGGUGUAAACUUCUUUUGCUCUGAACAAGGCAUGCCAGUGGGUGUGUUGAGUGUAGGGGUUGAUUAGCGCCGGCUAACUACGUG
rnacentral:rRNA from 1 species